AAAAUGGGGUGUAUCUAAAACAGUUAAAUUAAUCUUUGUACCAUCUUCCAGUAUAAUAUCUUUAGUUUUCGUUAGCAAUUUCUUUUUACAAAAUAUAAGAUAGCUGGCUGAAGUGACUGCCCAGGGAAAAAUUGAAAUCCAUUCUAGAUUAUAAUUUGAUACAAUAAAUAUAAAAUAUCAAGGUUAUUAACGAGUUAUGCACUGUUAACAAAAUCAAGUUUGUAGAGUUCAAGUCGUACUCUUACAAAUGAAUAUCACAUUGAAAAGCCUUUAUGCAAAUCUUACCUGUUUGAUAUGGAACGAUCUCAACGGGAGAGACGCUAGAUGCCUCCGCAGGGUCAAAAUUAUUGUUAUGUCGUAUAAGUGGUUUCUCACAUAAAGUAUUUAUAAACGCAGUUCUUCCAAGACCGACAUCUCCAACAACCAUCAGGUUCAAGGGGAUUCCUUUCUUUGAACUUUUCUUAGUCGUCCGCAUCGUUAAUUCUAUAUCAAUUUGCCCUUUGGUAAUAUGGGUUCUUGCAGUGAGUGUGUCAUUUGAAUGUAGAAACAAAAGUUGCACUACUCCGAAGUCUUCGUUAUAUGUAUACCACAUUUCACUACGAUCUUUUAUCAAUACCGUGUCAUAGUAAGGUAGGAUGAACAAUCAAAGAAUGUAUUGUACGUUGUAAAAGAAAAUGGUAAUUACAGAAAAAUUAGUUACAAUGAUUAUUGUACCUUUUUAGCUUAACGACACAAUUCAGCAAUAGUUACUUCACAUAAACCAACUGACGACUGCUUAUAAAUAGUAUUAAAUUAAGAACAUUAAUCGGGAAACACGAAACGAUUACUUUUAAUGAAACCACAAUACUAGCGGUAAAUAACAUAAGCAGUUUAAUAUUGAUAAGCAGAUUUAUUUACAAUACGAUCAAGAUUCCAAAUGAUUUAUGGCUCGACAAACGCUAAACGUAAAUCAACAACAUCCGGGAAAAAACUGCAAAGAUAGAUACAGAAAACAAAAAAAAAUUCGGGCGUAAUAGAAUACAUAUUAGGUAUCGGUGUAAUUACAAUCCGAAGUUGUCUGACUCACGAAUUGAACACAUUCACGAGUUUUUUUUUUUAAUAGAUGAAAUGUGUAAUAAUGAAAGAUAGGUCGGAAAAAGUUAUGAAUCUAAAAAAAAAGAUAGGAAGAAUGAAAACGGUAUAAACAAAUCGUGAAUUCUUUUCCAACUUAAGAAAAUUGAAAACUUGUAAAUCCAGGGAAACCACCCCCCAUGCCAAAUCCCUGAGAGUUGUACGAACCUCCCGGGAAACCACCGCCUGGGAAACCACCUCCUGGAAAACUACCUCCGGCUUGGUAAGCCCGAAGAAUAUCAAAAGGAUCCAUUCCGGCACCUCCCUCCAUACCAGGUUCAAGAUCGACACCCGAAUCAAAACGACGUCGGCUUUCUGGGUCAGAAAGAAUAGUAUAAGCCUCGCCAACUUCUUUAAAGCGUGCUUCAGCCUCAAGAUUGCCAGCAUUUUUAUCAGGAUGAUAUACCAGAGCUAAUUUACGAUAAGCUUUCUUAAUUUCAAUAUCGGUUGCUUCCUUGGAAACACCUAAAAUCUUGUAGUGAUCUUUACGCUUCGACUUUUUCAAUUCUAGCUGAAGCCGGCGUAAUUCUUGACGCAAGUUAGCAUCGCUCGCAUCUAGUUCUAUAGCUGACUGCACGUCUCUAACUGCCUCUUCCCACUUUUCAAGAGCUUCGUGAGCCUUAGCGCGAACUUUUAAACCUUUUAAAUAAGAUGAAUCUAUUGCCAAAGCAUUGUCACUGUCACUCAAGGCUUCCUCCGGUCGUUUUAAGCGUAAUAACACAGUAGCUCUAUUCAUGUACAACUUGGCGACAGUUUCUUUAUUAUCAGGAUCAAUUUGCAAAGCCUCAGAAUAUUUUUCGUAAGCAUCUUGGUAAUUACCUUGACGGAACAAAUCAUUUCCUUGAUUUUUGGUGUUCUCGAGUUUACGAACUUGCUUGAAUAAUGUUUUGGCCGUAGUGCAAUCAGGAUCUAAUUUCAAUGCUUCUUGAAAAUGGGUAAUAGCCUUCGCAUUCUCACCCGAAUAAUACAUUACUUUACCACGGAGGACUAAAGCUUCUACGUUCUUAGGGUUAAGUCGUAAAACAUCGUGUGCAAUUUUUUGAGCACGAUCCAUAUCGUUCUGAAAAAUAUAUACCUGCGCUUUCAAAUACAUCCACGACAUUGGGGGUUGAGUAGUACUAUCAAUACGACGCUGAAGGCGAUCAAGAGCAUUAAGAGCUAAUCCAGCUUGCUUAUUUUUCAAAUACACCUCUGCCUCAUUUAAAAUUGAUAGACCUUCGUAAGCCUGACGAAUACGAGAUUGUGUUUUUGGAACGUCUGGCUUAAUACGGUCGGACUGUUUCGCGUCACAUAAAGCCAAUUCAAACUCACCAAUCUGCAUAUAAGUAGCGGCACGAUUGGAAUAAUAAAUCGCCAACGCUGAAUCUGAUCCUAAAUCAAUGGCUUCUGUAUAGGCUUUGAUAGCCUCUGCAUAUUUCUUUUCUUUAUAGAAAGCGUUUCCUAUAGCCUUUUGCUUUUCAGCUAGCUCAGCAGGCUCUUGUUGGCUCUCUGUACCUGCAUUCAUGUGUGUGGUUUCGACUUCAGUCAUUUUGAUCGAAUUAAUUUAAAUAUUUAAAAAAUUUAAAUUUUAUUUAAAAUGACAGAAAGUUCAGGAACGCUUUCCAAUCGCCGAAGCGUAACAGAUCAAAAAGUCAGUGGUAGGUAAAUAGAUACGACCAAACUAUUAAAUUUUAGUAUCACUAAUAAGGAACACUGCUGUAGCUCCUUAAGCAUGUCCCCGAUAUUUGUCCAAUUCGUGAAAGUAAGUCUAAAAUGUUCUUUGAAUAAUGUAAUUGUGAAAGAUAGAAUAUAAAUAAAAAAAUGCAAGGAACUCUCACCAAGUUUUUAAACGAUAGUUGUGUUUUCUGAAAUAUCAUAGGUAUGUUUACCUAAACUACU
rnacentral:lncRNA from 1 species